rnacentral:lncRNA from 1 species
GUGCAAGAAUUACAAAUCGGACACUUUCCCUGUAUCAGUUUGAGUACAUGUAACGUAUGUUAUGAAUUUGAAAUAAGUAUUAUAUUCCACCCAGCAUGUUUAGUGGGAUGGACAUGCCUGCAUAUAACAUACAAAUAAUAAUUCAAAACAAAGGAUACGUCUUUGGCCUAAAAUCUUCAUGACCUACAAGUACGUUUUCCCAGCAAGAUUUUUGUCACAAGAACAAAUGUCCUCAAAACAAGUUAAGGUCACUGGCACCAGGAAGUAAUUCCCAGUAUCCAUUGAUAUAUCAGAACAACCUGGUCUUUAGAGUAAGAAAACCAUUAUAUUGUCCUGGCUGGAAACAGCUAAUUAUAUAGACAUCUGUUUUACAGAGCAUCAAUCAGGAAAGAUAGGAAGAACAGUUAUCUUGUACUGAUAAAAACUGACAGAAAAAUCAUUACUUAUGUGGGGGUUUGACUAAUGUAAGGGUCAAGAGGAGGGUUUUGCAUGUUUUGGGGUCAAGAGAAAAGGAACUAAAAAGGGCAGAGGAUUUAAACUAUAUGAGGGGCUUUGAUAUUGGAAAGCGUCAAGGGGAAGGUAUUACAAAAAAUAAAAGGGUGAUAUAAACUUUAUGAGGGAUUGUGAUUGUUUAAGGGAUCAUGAGGAAAGGAAUUUAAAAUGAUGGGGGUCUUAACAUUUUUUUUGGUGAUUUACCAUUUAAUGUAGGUCAUCAGGCCAGGAAUAGAAAAUUAUCAGAAUAUUUAAGUACACUUUAAUAUGAGGC